rnacentral:lncRNA from 1 species
CUCUGUCCAAGACCACAGAACCACCAUAAAACAAAGUCCAGGUUUCACAACUCCAAGGCCUGGCCAGCUAAAAACCCAUUCUGCUCGCCACCCAUCCAUCAAGAAACCCGUCAGCCUCAAAGUACACACUCCAGCACUCACCUGCUUCGCCAAGGCCAGGUGGGCCUGCCCUGUCACUGCUAGCCAUGGGUAGACAUUUACAUUUAAAGUGACAAGAAUUAAAUACAAUUUAAAAUUCAGCUCCUUAGCUGCACCAGCUGCAUUUCCAGAGCUCGACAGUCACGUGUGACUCGUGGCCACCUUACUGGACAGUGCGGAUCUAGAAUGUUCUGCCAUUGCAGGAAGUUUGGACAACUGCAAUAGCCUCUGCCCAGCCCCCCACCGGAGGAGGCUUUAACACAUGUAAUGAGGGGUCUGCCGGGCUGCCCACGUCCCUCAGGCCCCUGCUCCAAAGUCACCCGCUGGGGAGGACGUCCCUGACCUCCACAUCUGAGACAGAAGCCCCUCCCCACACUCUAUCCUUUCACAGCUUUGUCUUCAGUGCACGUGAUGUGGGAUAUGUCCUUCUAUCACGCAUCUCACCCCGUGCAAUGCAGGCUCCAUGAUGGCAGGAAAGGGCUCCGUCCUCAGCCCCAGGGCUGGGCACACAGCAGGUGUGCCCAGGAAUUAAUCAUUUCCAGACGCUGGCGCAGCACCUGGUGCCCAAAGCCAUAGGCCUGGGAGCUGUGCAGGUCUUGCAGGCAGACGACACCACUUAGUGGACGCGAUUUCUUCCCUGGUCCCACUGCCUGGUGCGUGCAGAGAAACUACUCCCAAGUGGGAAGUGAGUGGCUUGUUGAGGCUUGGGACAAAGCUCAGGGGUGUCCCAGGUGAACCCCCUUCUCUAAAACAAGCAGGUCCCUCCCUGCUCCGACACUGAAAUGACAUCACAGGGCACUGAGGACGUGGGGCCCGUCCCCGGCUGCUGCAGUGCAGUGCCACCUGCAGGCCGUGUGGCCUGAGCAGGCUGUGUCAUCUCCAGGCCUGCAGUCUCUCGUCUGUAGGAAGAGGAUGAUCAGUAGCCCAGCCUUGGAGGGCCUAUGACCAUGUCUGAUGUUCAGGGAAUGAAGGAGUGAAGAAAGCAGGAAUGAACGAAGGAAGGAAGCAGCUCCAGCAAUUGGUUCCCAGGCAAGAAGCUGGUGGGGUUCUGACUUCUAUCCCGAUUCACACCCUUUCCUCCUGCCCUCAGGGCAGUCCUUCUCCUGCUCUUGUUCAUUCAUCCCCUUCAGCCCUUUCUUAUUCUCUUCUGUAGCCGAACCACAAAAAAUAAAUACAUUAGAAAUGUUUUCCGAGCUCAUCAGAUGCAUCAUGUCUAUUUCUCUGCCCCAGCCCAGUGGGGUGGGUGAUGCCUUUGCAGCCCCCACUUGCCAGGGGCACCUUGUGGGCAUCUAGAUCUCCAGACCUCAAAGCCAGCACCCACCCAACUGCAGGGUGCUGUCUGCGCUGUACGCAUUCUGAGAGCUCCGUGGCCUGGGCCAGCCCCAGCUGGAACCUCGGGUGCCCUUCACUCUUCCAAAAGAGGCUGUUUGCUUUCAAAGAAAGGAAAGAGUAGAACUGCAGACUGCAUUUGGCUACACAGCCUGAGACUCCUGGGAACAAAAUAACCCACACAAACAAAAUCCACAAGGAGCCCCAAGCCUUCACUUCAAUCCACUUGGCUCUCAACACCCUCCUGGUCUCAUAUUUUCCUUUCUGUCCUUCAGAGGAGGGUAGCUAAUAAGACUUUGUCUCUUGCCUCUGGUAAUUGUUUCCUAGUGCCCCUAGCACUGCUAUAACAAAUGACCACUGACUUAGAGGCUUCCAACCACACACAUCUAGUCUCUCCCAGUUCUGGAGGUCAGAGGUCCUAAGGUCCAGGUGUUGGCAGGGGCUGGUUCCCUCCGGACACUCCUGGGAAGAGCGAUGAUGAACAUCUAUUGUUCUAAAGUCCAGUUUGUGGCAGUGUGUUACAGAGGCAACAGGAAACUGAUACUCCAUAGAAGUCAGUGGGAAAGUAAGACUGCAACAGGUCACAGCACUCCCGUUUACACAACAUACUUCCUUAGUUCAAGCCAACACCCUCCGCUGUUGAGUUCUCCAACAGCCUCAGCUUAGCCUCUAUCUCAGCCUACCAAAUGCAACAGAGAUGCUUCUAAGACACACUCUUGCCUGUGUUGCUU